AGGUUUAACCGAAUUUCCCCUUGACGGGCGGUGAGUACAGAAGCUCUUGCCUGUUUUCUUGAGAAGAGAUGACUACUUAGUAAACCACUUGGCUCCUGGGCCUCUCAUACUUAUGGGAUUGCUGUUGCUUCUUGCAUCCCAGAAGUUGAACCUGAGGCCCAAUACCUAGAUAAAAGAAAGAACACAUCUAAGGGGGUCCAGCAAAAGGGGGAAUAUAUUCAGAACACUUAGAACAGGUGACUCAAACUGAAAGAGAACUGAAGCGGCGGUGAAAACACAGCUAGAAUAAAAUUAAGAUAUACACACAGAUGCACACACCGCCCGUCAAGGGGAAUUCGGGGCCGCUAAA
rnacentral:rRNA from 1 species